UAUUUUCUAGGAAACGAAAAGAAACAGAGAAACCAAACACUGAUGGACGGGAAAGGACAAGGACUAAAUGGCGUUUCUGCUGAAACCCUCAUCCCUCUUAUCACUCCAUACAAGUUGGGCAAGUUCCAGCUCUCUCACAGGAACAACACAAGAAGAUGUAAAGGAACCUGCAAUAUACCUUCAUAAGUUAGAACAAUGGAAGGAUGAUGUCAGCAAUGACGACAUUGAAGCAGUAAAUGCGUCUUCAACUACAAAAAUUAAAUGUGGCAGUACAAGUUCAGAAGCAGUAAAAACAUCCACAAGCCACGUAUUAUGCAAGAAAAGAACAAGAGAAAGAGACAAGAAGGAAGAGAAGAACGAACGGAUGAAUAAACAAAAGUCAAAAAAUGGUAGAAGUGUGCCCAAGAGUAUGUGGAAAAAAAGGUGUGUGCAAAGUUGUUUGUAAAGGAAGCUCCAUCUUCAGCCUUGUACAUUCAUCAGCAAUCAAUAAGAAAGAAAUGAAAAGUAAAGAAAGUGAGAAACCAAACACUGAUGGAAGGGAAAGUACAAGGACUAAAUGGCGUCUCUGCUGAAACCCCAUCCACGAAGAUAAAGUGCUUGGUACAGAGUUGUACAGUUUUCGGAUCGCCGCGGCGUCUGCGAUAUUAAAGAGGUUGAGACACACGCUAGCUGCACCAUGAUGAGGAC